rnacentral:rRNA from 1 species
AUUGAACGCUGGCGGCAGGCCUAACACAUGCAAGUCGAACGAGUGGCGGACGGGUGAGUAAUGUCUGGGAAACUGCCUGAUGGAGGGGGAUAACUACUGGAAACGGUAGCUAAUACCGCAUACCAUCGCUUGUUCCCAGAUGGGAGUAGCUAGUAGGUGGGGGAAAGGCUCACCUGGGCGAAGAUCCCUCGCUGGUCUGAGAGGAUGACCAGCCACACUGGAACUGAGACACGGUCCAGACUCCGACGGGAGGCAGCAGUGGUGAAUAUUGCACAAUGGGCGCAAGCCUGAUGCAGCCAUGCCGCGUGUAUGAAGAAGGCCUUCGUGUUGUAAAGUACUUUCAGCGGGGAGGCGUUACCCGAAGAAGAAGCACCGGCUAACUCCGUGCCAGCCGCCGCGGUAAUUG